rnacentral:rRNA from 1 species
UAGGGAAUCUUCCGCAAUGGAGGAAAGUCUGACGGAGCAACGCCGCGUGAGUGAAAAAGGCUUUUGGGUCGUAAAACUCUGUUGUUAGGGAAGAACAAGUGUGAGUUGAAUAAGCUCACGCCUUGGCGGUACCUAACCAGAAAACCACGGCUAACUUCGUGCCAGCAGCCGCGGUAAUACGUAGGUGGCAAGCGUUAUCCGGAAUUAUUGGGCGUAAAGCGCGCGCAGGUGGUUUCUUAAGUUUGAUGUGAAAGCCCCCGGCUCAACCGUGGAGGGUCAUUGGAAACUGGGAGACUUGAGUGCAGAAGAGGAAAGUGGAAUUCCAUGUGUAGCGGUGAAAUGCGUAGAGAUAUGGAGGAACACCAGUGGCGAAGGCGACUUUUUGGUCUGUAACUGACACUGAGGCGCGAAAGCGUGGGGAGCAAACAGGAUUAGAUACCCUGGUAGUCCCCGCCGUAAACGAUGAGUGCUAAGUGUUAGAGGGUUUCCGCCCUUUAGUGCUGCAAGUUAACGC